AACGAACGCUGGCGGCAUGCCUAACACAUGCAAGUCGAACGAGACCUUCGGGUCUAGUGGCGCACGGGUGCGUAACGCGUGGGAACCUGCCCUUAGGUUCGGAAUAACUCCCCGAAAGGGGUGCUAAUACCGGAUAAUGUCUUCGGACCAAAGAUUUAUCGCCUUUGGAUGGGCCCGCGUUGGAUUAGCUAGUUGGUAGGGUAAAAGCCUACCAAGGCGACGAUCCAUAGCUGGUCUGAGAGGAUGAUCAGCCACACUGGGACUGAGAUACGGCCCAGACUCCUACGGGAGGCAGGAGUGGGGAAUAUUGGACAAUGGGCGAAAGCCUGAUCCAGCAAUGCCGCGUGAGUGAUGAAGGCCUUAGGGUUGUAAAGCUCUUUUACCCGGGAUGAUAAUGACAGUACCGGGAGAAUAAGCUCCGGCUAACUCCGUG
rnacentral:rRNA from 1 species